UGCAGUCGAGCGAACAGACGAGGAGCUUGCUCCUCUGACGUUAGCGGCGGACGGGUGAGUAACACGUGGAUAACCUACCUAUAAGACUGGGAUAACUUCGGGAAACCGGAGCUAAUACCGGAUAACAUGUUGAACCGCAUGGUUCAACAGUGAAAGACGGUCUUGCUGUCACUUAUAGAUGGAUCCGCGCCGCAUUAGCUAGUUGGUAAGGUAACGGCUUACCAAGGCAACGAUGCGUAGCCGACCUGAGAGGGUGAUCGGCCACACUGGAACUGAGACACGGUCCAGACUCCUACGGGAGGCAGCAGUAGGGAAUCUUCCGCAAUGGGCGAAAGCCUGACGGAGCAACGCCGCGUGAGUGAAGAAGGUCUUCGGAUCGUAAAACUCUGUUAUUAGGGAAGAACAAAUGUGUAAGUAACUAUGCACGUCUUGACGGUACCUAAUCAGAAAGCCACGGCUAACUACGUGCCAGCAGCCGCGGUAAUACGUAGGUGGCAAGCGUUAUCCGGAAUUAUUGGGCGUAAAGCGCGCGUAGGCGGUUUUUUAAGUCUGAUGUGAAAGCCCACGGCUCAACCGUGGAGGGUCAUUGGAAACUGGAAAACUUGAGUGCAGAAGAGGAAAGUGGAAUUCCAUGUGUAGCGGUGAAAUGCGCAGAGAUAUGGAGGAACACCAGUGGCGAAGGCGACUUUCUGGUCUGUAACUGACGCUGAUGUGCGAAAGCGUGGGGAUCAAACAGGAUUAGAUACCCUGGUAGUCCACGCCGUAAACGAUGAGUGCUAAGUGUUAGGGGGUUUCCGCCCCUUAGUGCUGCAGCUAACGCAUUAAGCACUCCGCCUGGGGAGUACGACCGCAAGGUUGAAACUCAAGGAAUUGACGGGGACCCGCACAAGCGGUGGAGCAUGUGGUUUAAUUCGAAGCAACGCGAAGAACCUUACCAAAUCUUGACAUCCUCUGAUCCCUCUAGAGAUAGAGUUUCCCCUUCGGGGGACAGAGUGACAGU
rnacentral:rRNA from 1 species